UGGGGAAUAUUGCACAAUGGAGGGAACUCUGAUGCAGCGACGCCGCGUGAGUGAUGAAGGAAUUCGUUUCGUAAAACUCUGUUCUAUGGGAAGAAAAGGACUGUACCAUAGGAGAAAGCUCCGGCUAAAUACGUGCCAGCAGCCGCGGUAAUACGUAUGGAGCGAGCGUUGUCCGGAAUUAUUGGGCGUAAAGGGUGCGCAGGCGGCUUUACAAGUUGGAUGUGAAAUAUUGUGGCUCAACCACAAACGUGCAUCCAAAACUGCAUAGCUUGAGUUAAGGGGGGGUAAGUGGAAUUCCUGGUGGAGCGGUAGAAUGCGUGGAUAUCAGGAGGAAUACCGGUGGCGAAGGCGACUUACUGGACUUAAACUGACGCUCAGGCACGAAAACGUGGGGAGCAAACAGG
rnacentral:rRNA from 1 species